GUAGAGACAUGAUAGGGUGAUGAUAGAGUGAGGUAGAGUGAGAGAGUGGUGUAAAGUCAAUGUAGAGUGAGGUAGAGUCAUGGUGGAGUGAGGGAGAGUCAUGAUAGGGUGAUGAUAGAGUGAGGUAGAGUGAGAGAGUGGUGUAAAGUCAAUGUAGAGUGAGGUAGAGUCAUGGUGGAGUGAGGGAGAGUCAUGAUAGGGUGAUGAUAGAGUG